CUAACACAUGCAAGUCGAACGAAGCAUACGGACUGGAGAUUCGUCGAAGGACUGUAUGACUUAGUGGCGGACGGGUGAGUAAUGUAUGAGCAACCUGCCUUUCAGAGGGGGACAACAGUUGGAAACGACUGCUAAUACCGCGUAACGUAUCGUGAGGGCAUCCUCGUGAUACCAAAGGAGCAAUCCGCUGAAAGAUGGGCUCAUAUCUGAUUAGCUUGUUGGCGGGGUAACGGCCCACCAAGGCGACGAUCAGUAGCCGGACUGAGAGGUUGAACGGCCACAUUGGGACUGAGAUACGGCCCAGACUCCUACGGGAGGCAGCAGUGGGGAAUAUUGGGCAAUGGGCGAAAGCCUGACCCAGCAACGCCGCGUGAAGGAAGAAGGUCUUCGGAUUGUAAACUUCUUUUAUGAGGGACGAAGGACGUGACGGUACCUCAUGAAUAAGCCACGGCUAACUACGUGCCAGCAGCCGCGGUAAUACGUAGGUGGCGAGCGUUAUCCGGAUUUACUGGGUGUAAAGGGCGCGUAGGCGGGGGUGCAAGUCAGAUGUGAAAUCUAUGGGCUCAACUCAUAAACUGCAUUUGAAACUGUACUUCUUGAGUACUGGAGAGGUAGACGGAAUUCCUUGUGUAGCGGUGAAAUGCGUAGAUAUAAGGAAGAACACCAGUGGCGAAGGCGGUCUACUGGACAGCAACUGACGCUGAGGCGCGAAAGCGUGGGGAGCAAACAGGAUUAGAUACCCUGGUAGUCCACGCUGUAAACGAUGAAUACUAGGUGUGGGGGGACUGACCCCUUCCGUGCCGCAGUUAACACAAUAAGUAUUCCACCUGGGGAGUACGGCCGCAAGGUUGAAACUCAAAGGAAUUGACGGGGGCCCGCACAAGCAGUGGAUUAUGUGGUUUAAUUCGAAGCAACGCGAAGAACCUUACCAGGGCUUGACAUCCAACUAACGAAGCAGAGAUGCAUUAGGUGCCCUUCGGGAAAGUUGAGACAGUGGUGCAUGGUUGUCGUCAGCUCGUGUCGUGAGAUGUUGGGUUAGUCCCGCACGAGCGCAACCCUAUGUAGUGCUACGCAGAGCACUCUAGCGAGACUGCCGUUGACAAACGAGAGGGGGGGACGACGUCAAUCAUCAUGCCCUUAUGUCUGGCUACCACGUAAUCAAUGGCGUCACUGAGAGCAAUCGCGGGCAACGAAUUCCAAGGCCUUCAUCGAUGCAGGUCACUCCGUGUGGAUUCCGAUGCUGAUAAUCGGAAUACAUAUGUCGCCG
rnacentral:rRNA from 1 species